CUUUUACAAUGAAGAGUUUGAUCCUGGCUCAGGAUGAACGCUAGCUACAGGCUUAACACAUGCAAGUCGAGGGGCAGCAUUUCAGUUUGCUUGCAAACUGGAGAUGGCGACCGGCGCACGGGUGAGUAACACGUAUCCAACCUGCCGAUAACUCGGGGAUAGCCUUUCGAAAGAAAGAUUAAUACCCGAUGGCAUAAUUAGACCGCAUGGUCUUAUUAUUAAAGAAUUUCGGUUAUCGAUGGGGAUGCGUUCCAUUAGGCAGUUGGUGAGGUAACGGCUCACCAAACCUUCGAUGGAUAGGGGUUCUGAGAGGAAGGUCCCCCACAUUGGAACUGAGACACGGUCCAAACUCCUACGGGAGGCAGCAGUGAGGAAUAUUGGUCAAUGGACGAGAGUCUGAACCAGCCAAGUAGCGUGAAGGAUGACUGCCCUAUGGGUUGUAAACUUCUUUUAUAUGGGAAUAAAGUUUUCCACGUGUGGAAUUUUGUAUGUACCAUAUGAAUAAGGAUCGGCUAACUCCGUGCCAGCAGCCGCGGUAAUACGGAGGAUCCGAGCGUUAUCCGGAUUUAUUGGGUUUAAAGGGAGCGUAGGUGGACAGUUAAGUCAGUUGUGAAAGUUUGCGGCUCAACCGUAAAAUUGCAGUUGAUACUGGCUGUCUUGAGUACAGUAGAGGUGGGCGGAAUUCGUGGUGUAGCGGUGAAAUGCUUAGAUAUCACGAAGAACUCCGAUUGCGAAGGCAGCUCACUGGACUGCAACUGACACUGAUGCUCGAAAGUGUGGGUAUCAAACAGGAUUAGAUACCCUGGUAGUCCACACAGUAAACGAUGAAUACUCGCUGUUUGCGAUAUACAGUAAGCGGCCAAGCGAAAGCGUUAAGUAAUCCACCUGGGGAGUACGCCGGCAACGGUGAAACUCAAAGGAAUUGACGGGGGCCCGCACAAGCGGAGGAACAUGUGGUUUAAUUCGAUGAUACGCGAGGAACCUUACCCGGGUUUGAACGUAGUCUGACCGGAGUGGAAACACUCUUUCUAGCAAUAGCAGAUUACGAGGUGCUGCAUGGUUGUCGUCAGCUCGUGCCGUGAGGUGUCGGCUUAAGUGCCAUAACGAGCGCAACCCUUAUCACUAGUUACUAACAGGUGAAGCUGAGGACUCUGGAGAGACUGCCGUCGUAAGCUGUGAGGAAGGUGGGGAUGACGUCAAAUCAGCACGGCCCUUACGUCCGGGGCUACACACGUGUUACAAUGGGGGGUACAGAAGGCAGCUACCUGGUGACAGGAUGCUAAUCCCAAAAGCCUCUCUCAGUUCGGAUCGAAGUCUGCAACCCGACUUCGUGAAGCUGGAUUCGCUAGUAAUCGCGCAUCAGCCAUGGCGCGGUGAAUACGUUCCCGGGCCUUGUACACACCGCCCGUCAAGCCAUGAAAGCCGGGGGUACCUGAAGUACGUAACCGCAAGGAGCGUCCUAGGGUAAAACUGGUAAUUGGGGCUAAGUCGUAACAAGGUAGCCGUACCGGAAGGUGCGGCUGGAACACCUCCUUUCU
rnacentral:rRNA from 1 species